GGGGCCGGGCCUGCGCGCACCGGGGCGGUGGAAGAGCAGCAGCGCUCCGAGGCGGUGCAGCAGCUCGGGCAGCCGGUGCCGCCGCAGUGGUGCCAGCGACAGGACGGGUAGCAUUGGCCGUGAAACGAAACACAAGAAGUUCCACCUCAACAUGAGAACUUCAUUGCGCUGAGGGUGGCAGAGCACCGGAACAGGCUGCCCAGGGCGGUCGCGGAGUCUCCGUCUCUGGAGACAUUCCAAACCCGCCUGGAUGCGCUCCCGCGUCACCUGCAGCAGCCACGUCUCCUUCCGCCGGCGGUACCACCUUCUUCACCUCCCACCGCUCCCAGGCACAGCCCUGGUUCAUCCCCGCGGUGUGAGGGGCUGCCGGGAUGUUCGCCGUGUUCUACACCCGUAGGAGGUGCAAAACCAGUGGCCAGCAACUGAGAGUAAGAGAGUUUACAUUUUAAAAGCAUUAUUGAAUCUUGCAACAUAGCCAGUGCAAACAGAGAAGAGACAUCAAAGAGGCUUUUUACAGUACUACCUACUGCUAAUAGGAGAACCAUAAUCAAGUAAAGCGUCCCACUGAAGAAAAAAAAAAUUAAGGAAAUCUACAAGGAUAUAACUAUCUGCCAUCAAAUAAAAUCAGACAAUGAUAAAUGA